UACGAAGGGGGCUAGCGUUGCUCGGAAUCACUGGGCGUAAAGGGUGCGUAGGCGGGUCUUUAAGUCAGGGGUGAAAUCCUGGAGCUCAACUCCAGAACUGCCUUUGAUACUGAGGAUCUUGAGUUCGGGAGAGGUGAGUGGAACUGCGAGUGUAGAGGUGAAAUUCGUAGAUAUUCGCAAGAACACCAGUGGCGAAGGCGGCUCACUGGCCCGAUACUGACGCUGAGGCACGAAAGCGUGGGGAGCGAACCGG
rnacentral:rRNA from 1 species